rnacentral:rRNA from 1 species
CGUGUAGGCGGCCAUCCAAGUCUGGUGUGAAAGCUCGGGGCUCAACCCCGAGUCUGCACUGGAAACUGGUUGGCUUGAGUCCGGAAGAGGAGACUGGAAUUCCUGGUGUAGCGGUGAAAUGCGCAGAUAUCAGGAAGAACACCGGUGGCGAAGGCGGGUCUCUGGGACGGUACUGACGCUGAGACGCGAAAGCGUGGGGAGCAAACA